AACGAACGCUGGCGGCAUGCCUAACACAUGCAAGUCGAACGAGACCUUCGGGUCUAGUGGCGCACGGGUGCGUAACGCGUGGGAACCUGCCCUUAGGUUCGGAAUAACUCCCCGAAAGGGGUGCUAAUACCGGAUAAUGUCUUCGGACCAAAGAUUUAUCGCCUUUGGAUGGGCCCGCGUUGGAUUAGCUAGUUGGUAGGGUAAAAGCCCACCAAGGCGACGAUCCAUAGCUGGUCUGAGAGGAUGAUCAGCCACACUGGGACUGAGACACGGCCCAGACUCCUACGGGAGGCAGCAGUGGGGAAUAUUGGUCAAUGGGCGAAAGCCUGAUCCAGCAAUGCCGCGUGAGUGAUGAAGGCCUUAGGGUUGUAAAGCUCUUUUACCCGGGAUGAUAAUGACAGUACCGGGAGAAUAAGCUCCGGCUAACUCCGUG
rnacentral:rRNA from 1 species